GAUGAACGCUGGCGGCGUGCCUAAUACAUGCAAGUCGAGCGGUAAGGCCUCUUCGGAGGUACACGAGCGGCGGACGGCUGAGUAACGCGUAGGAACGUACCCCAAAGUGAGGGAUAAGCACCAGAAAUGGUGUCUAAUACCGCAUGUGGCCCACGGGCUAAAGCUUCGGCGCUUUGGGAACGGCCUGCGUAAGAUUAGCUAGUUGGUGAGGUAAUGGCUCACCAAGGCGACGAUCUUUAGCUGGUCUGAGAGGAUGAUCAGCCAGACUGGGACUGAGACACGGCCCAGACUCCUACGGGAGGCAGCAGUAGGGAAUUUUCCACAAUGGGCGAAAGCCUGAUGGAGCAACGCCGCGUGCAGGAUGAAUGCCUUCGGGUUGUAAACUGCUUUUAUAUGCGACGAAUAUGACGGUAGCAUAUGAAUAAGGGUCGGCUAACUCCGUGCCAGCAGCCGCCGCCG
rnacentral:rRNA from 1 species